rnacentral:rRNA from 1 species
UACGUAGGGACCAAGCGUUGUCCGGAAUCAUUGGGCGUAAAGAGCGUGUAGGCGGCUUGGUAAGUCCGCUCUGAAAGCCCGGGGCUCAACCCCGGGAGGCGGGUGGAUACUGUCAAGCUCGAGUCCGGAAGAGGCGAGUGGAAUUCCUGGUGUAGCGGUGAAAUGCGCAGAUAUCAGGAGGAACACCAAUGACGAAGGCAGCUCGCUGGGACGUGACUGACGCUGAGACGCGAAAGCGUGGGGAGCAAACAGG